rnacentral:rRNA from 1 species
CCCUUAGAUGUUCUGGGCCGCACGCGCGCUACAAUGGUCUUCGCAAACGGAUGCAUUCUCGAAGGAGAAUGCCAAUCUUGGAAUCUAUGCCUUGGUCGGGACAGUUGCUUGCAAUUUUUCGACUCGAACCAGGAAUUCCUUGUAAUCGUGAUUCAUCACAUCACGAUGAAUACGUCCCUGCCCUUUGUACACACCGCCCGUCGCUCCUACCGAUUGGGUGUGCUGGUGAAAUGUUCGGAUCGGCCGUUUGUCGCGGUUUCCGCGUCAUGUGGCUGAGAAGUUCAUUAAACCCUCCCACCUAGAGGAAGGAGAAGUCGUAACA